UACGAAGGUGGCAAGCGUUACUCGGAAUUACUAGGCGUAAAGGGCAGGUAGGUGGUUCGGUAAGUCUGUUGUGUAAGCUCCCGGCUUAACUGGGAGAGGUCAACAGAAACUACCGGACUUGAGUAUAGGAGAGGGUACUGGAAUUCCCGGUGUAGCGGUGAAAUGCGCAGAGAUCGGGAGGAACACCGGUGGCGAAGGCGGGUCUCUGGGCCGAUACUGACGCUGAGGAGCGAAAGCGUGGGGAGCGAACAGG
rnacentral:rRNA from 1 species